GGCGCAAGGGUGAGUAACACGUAGGCAACCUGCCCAGAGGACGGGAAUAACUUCGAGAAAUCGAGGCUAAUGCCCGAUGAUAUAUUGAUGCAGCAUUGCAUUGAUAUCAAAAGCCGAAAGGUGCCUUUGGAUGGGCCUGCGUCCCAUUAGGUAGUUGGUGAGGUAACGGCUCACCAAGCCGACGAUGGGUAGCUGAUCUGAGAGGACGAUCAGCCACACUGGAACUGAGACACGGUCCAGACUCCUACGGGAGGCAGCAGUGAGGAAUAUUGCGCAAUGCCCGAAAGGGUGACGCAGCGACGCCGCGUGGAGGAUGAAGGCCCUAUGGGUCGUAAACUCCUUUUGUGAGGGAAUAAUUUCCCGCUAUAGGCGGGAUUGAAUGUACCUCAGGAAAAAGCAUCGGCUAACUACGUGCCAGCAGCCGCGGUAAUACGUAGGAUGCUAGCGUUGUCCGGAUUUACUGGGUGUAAAGGGAGCGCAGGCGGAUUGGUAAGUCAGUGGUGAAAUUCUCAGGCUUAACCUGAGGACUGCCACCGAUACUGCUGA
rnacentral:rRNA from 1 species